rnacentral:lncRNA from 1 species
GUCAGUGUUGGUGGUUAGCUGUGUGUUAGUGUUAGCUAUGGACAGGUCAGUGUUGGUGGAUAGCUGUGUGUUAGCUAUGGACAGGUCAGUGUUGGUGGAUAGCUGUGUGUUAGCUAUGGACAGGUCAGUGUUGGUGGUUAGCUAUGGACAGGUCAGUGUUGGUGGAUAGCUGUGUAUUAGCUAUGGACAGGUCAGUGUUGGUGGUUAGCUGUGUGUUAGCUAUGGACAGGUCAGUGUUGGUGGAUAGCUGUGUGUUAGCUAUGGACAGGUCAGUGUUGGUGGAUAGCUGUGUAUUAGCUAUGGACAGGUCAGUGUUGGUGGUUAGCUGUGUAUUAGCUAUGGACAGGUCAGUGUUGGUGGAUAGCUGUGUGUUAGCUAUGGACAGGUCAGUGUUGGUGGAUAGCUGUGUGUUAGCUAUGGACAGGUCAGUGUUGGUGGAUAGCUGUGUAUUAGCUAUGGACAGGUCAGUGUUGGUGGUUAGCUGUGUAUUAGCUAUGGACAGGUCAGUGUUGGUGGAUAGCUGUGUAUUAGCUAUGGACAGGUCAGUGUUGGUGGAUAGCUGUGUGUUAGCUAUGGACAGGUCAGUGUUGGUGGUUAGCUAUGGACAGGUCAGUGUUGGUGGAUAGCUGUGUGUUAGCUAUGGACAGGUCAGUGUUGGUGGUUAGCUGUGUGUUAGCUAUGGACAGGUCAGUGUUGGUGGAUAGCUGUGUGUUAGCUAUGGACAGGUCAGUGUUGGUGGAUAGCUGUG